rnacentral:rRNA from 1 species
UACGGAGGUGGCUAACGUUGUUCGGAUUCAUUGGGUGUAAAGGGUAUGUAGGUGGCCUUGUAAGUCGGAUGUGAAAUCCUUUGGCUCAACCAAAGAACUGCAUUCGAAACUGCUGGGCUUGAGUUUUGGAGAGGAGAGUGGAAUUCCCGGUGUAAGAGUGAAAUCUGUAGAUAUCGGGAGGAACACCAGUGGCGAAAGCGACUCUCUGGCCAAAAACUGACACUGAAAUACGAAAGCUAGGGGAGAAAACAGG